AAUAGCCUAACGGCUGAACCAGCAACUUGGGGGAAUGUAGGCGUAUGCAGAAAUGUAUAUGCUAUCGACUACGUCGUAUAAAGUUCUAGAUAGAUAACUGAUAAUGACAAUUUUCUAUCUAUAUGUCUUGACCAAAUCUCGUGCCAGCAGUCGCGGUAAUACGAGGAAGACUAGUGUUAUUCAUCUUUAUUAGGUUUAAAGGGUACCUAGACAGUAUAUCAAGCCCCAAAAGGGAACAGAUUUACUAGAGUUUUAUGUAAGAGGAAAAUUUAGAACUAUUGGAGUAGAGAUGAAAUUUUUUGAUACUAAUGGAACUGGUGUGCGAAAGCAGCCCUCUAU
rnacentral:rRNA from 1 species